CCCACAAACCAUGAGGUCAUGACCUGAGCCAGAGUCGGAUGCCCAACCGACUGAGACACCCAGGCGCCUCGAGAUUAACUAGUUUUAAAUCUUUGUGGCUGGGGCACGGUGGCCAGAAAAAUUAAACAGUUGAGCAGCGAGUGUCCUGUCCAACAGUUGUUUGUUCAGGAUUUCCUCUGUGUUGGCCUUUUCUCCCAGCCAGCUGCCACCCUCCUGGGAAGAGACCAGGUCUUCUAACUGCAUUCCGACAGGCAAGAUCAUUCACACCUUGCUGAGUGUGCUGGGAGUGUGCCCUGUCCCAGGGCAGGGGCCAUGGGGUUUCCAUAAUAGUGCACGGAGCCUGCUCACCAUUUAGUCAGGCCUGACCGUUCAUGGAGCCUUUCUUGUCUCUGACCUCCUUUGCUCUUCCUAACAUCCCAGUGUGUGCUACAGAAUAAGUAAAAAGAAGGCCUCUCCCAGGUACUCUUACAGCUUAAUAUACAUGUUCUCAUGGCGUUAUCACUGUGAUUCGAUGAGGUGAGCAGAACUGGCUACUUUUACCCACGAGGAAACAGGCCUGGGAGGUGAAAUAACUUGCCCGACGUCCCACAGCUACUCGUAGGCAGUGGGGCCGGAGCUCAGACUGGGGCCCCUUGGCCAGGGCUUUCCCUUGGGGUGCUGCAGCCUCAGGUGCCUGGGUAGGGUCAGGGCCGUGCUACGAUAGCCAUGCCUCUGCAAUCAAAUGUUUUGGAGAAAUCCUCAUGGUCGGUGCCUUCCCGGCUAGGAGUCCCUCGAUGAAGGAGCCACAGUAAAACAGGAAAGGUGAGGAGGCGGGGUGCCAUCUUCACGUGCAAGUCACUUCAGUUCUCUAAGCCCCUCCAGGCCUCUGGGGUUGGGGAGGCAUCGUCUGUACUUCCUUUCAGAUCAGCAGCAGAAGAGCUCGUGGCCUGUGCUCCUGCUGGCUUCCCAGUGCUUGCUUGCGGAGACUGGAGCCGGGUCCUGAAGGAAUUGUCCACCCUAUGAAGCCCAGUAGGCUGUCACACUUGUCCCAGGACACAUUCCCGUAUCCCAGUUCAUUUGCUUCCCACCACGGUUCUCGGCUCAGUGUGGUGCAUGUGUUCUUGUUACCGUGCUGCAAACACGGACACUGAGGUGCAAGAAGGCACUCGCGAGCCCAAGUCAGACAGUCCAGGACUGUCGGAGCUGUUCGGGAGCCCAAGCCACCUG